GAUGAACGCUGGCGGCGUGCCUAAUACAUGCAAGUCGAGCGAACAGACGAGGAGCUUGCUCCUCUGACGUUAGCGGCGGACGGGUGAGUAACACGUGGAUAACCUACCUAUAAGACUGGGAUAACUUCGGGAAACCGGAGCUAAUACCGGAUAAUAUAUUGAACCGCAUGGUUCAAUAGUGAAAGACGGUUUUGCUGUCACUUAUAGAUGGAUCCGCGCCGCAUUAGCUAGUUGGUCAGGUAAAGGCUUACCAAGGCUACGAUGCGUAGCCGACCUGAGAGAGUGAUCGGCCACACUGGAACUGAGACACGGUCCAGACUCCUGCGGGAGGCAGCAGUAGGGAAUCUUCCGCAAUGGGCGAGAGCCUGACGGAGCAACGCCGCGUGAGUGAUGAAGGUCUUCGGAUCGUAAAGCUCUGUUAUUAGUGAAGAACAAAUGUGUAAGUAACUGUGCACGUCUUGACGGUACCUAAUCAGAAAGCCACGGCUAACUACGUG
rnacentral:rRNA from 1 species